AUGAGCCAAUGAUUACAACUUGUUAUCCCUGUCUGAAUGUGACUGUGGACACUUGGUACACUGAGGCUUGU
ensembl:snoRNA small nucleolar RNA R38